GGCACUAAUCAGCACUUAAGAGCACUGAACAGCUUGAAGUCCUGACAAGAAUCAAUGAGUUGAGAUUUCACAGAUUUUUUAGAAAACACAUUAGUUACAUUUAGGGUGAACUUGUCUUGGCACAGCACUGUCUCACAGAGCUAACAAUCCAACGAGUGGUAAUGAAGCUAUAAGAACGACAACUCUAGCAAGUGCAACAACUGGU